rnacentral:lncRNA from 1 species
CUUAUAGUUUUAGUAUGAGCCUACACUUAGAAGAAAGCAAGGUGAUACUAAAUUAGAAAAAAUAUGUGAAACUGGUGUGGUGGUAUGCUUUGGACCAUAUCAAAUAGGGAGAGGUAUCAUAAGCAUAAAAGAAUACAAUUUGGCUCUCUUUGGAAAUUUUAAACAUAUAUGUGUAUGUGUGUAUAUAUAUUUACAUAUGUGCAUAUGUAUAUGUAUAUGUAUAUAUACAUACACACGAUGGUUUGGAAAUGGAACAUGAUAUGACAACUCUACUGACAUGUCUAUAAUAAAAUGAUGUGCUUUGAAACUACAUAUGGUGUUGGCUUUCUUUUCAUUAUAAUACAGAAAUGCUUCCCCAAUAGCUACAUGAAUAAAUGUGCUAUUGUGAGAGUGGCAAGGGAUAGCCUGCUGUGAAUGAGGGGAAAGAGAUAGUCACAGAUGAAGGAUAUAGAAUUAAAUAAGAAUAUUAGUUGAGAUACAAAAGUUAGAAUAUGUUCAAGUAUAGAGAGAGACUGGUUGAAGACAUCAAACAAAAUGAUUAUAAUAAGAAUGUGAAGUCCCUAAGGGCAUGAGAAAAUAAGACACAGAUCAUAUGAGACAGAAUUUACUAUGGUAGGACAGAGAUUGCAUGUGAUGUCACAAAUUAAACCACAAUAUUUAGAGAACUCUGAUGGCCUACUUGAGUUUGUCAAAUUGGUUGCUACUGGCAUUUGGGCUGGAUAAUAACUUAUUAUGCAGACUGUCCCACACAUUUCAGGCCAUUGAGCAUCUUUUGUCACUUCCCACUAAAUCCCAGGAGGACACUCUAAUCAUUUUAAUAACCAAAAAUGUCCUAACAAAUGCUUACCUGUUUCUUUGGUAGGGAGAUAUUACCCAGUUAAGAACCACUGAGGAAAUCCUUUGAACAUAAUCCAGAGCAGCCAAUUUUAAUGCCACCCAUAAGGGAAGCCUUGAAUUGCUCAAGGUCAUAAACUCACUGUUCUAAGGUCUACCUACACUGUCUAAUAUGGUAGCCACUCUCCACAUGUGACUAUUUAAAUCUAAGUAUCAAUUAAUUAAAACAAAAAGAAUAUUUUUGUUUUUCAGUUUCUCCAUCAAACUAGCCAUAUUCCAAGUGUCAAAUAGAUAUAUAUGGGCAACAGUUACAGAAGAUCCCCAUCAUUUCAGAAAGAUCCAUUGGAUAAUGCUAGUCAAAAGCAUAUAGAAACUUCCCAUUUCCUUCAGUCCUUGUACAAGUUCUUGCACAAUUAACCAACUGUCAUUACAAUUGAAAAUAUGAAAAGAGUCAGUAAAUACUCCAUGGAAUUUGAAAGGUGAUGCACCAAUUAUAAAUCCAUGAACUGGGCCGGGUGCGGUGAUUCACGCCUGUAAUCUCAGCACUUUGGGAGGCCGAGGCGAGCGGAUCACGAGGUCAAGAAAUUGAAACCCCGUCUCUACUAAAAAUACAAAAAUUAGCUGGGCAUGGUGGCACGCGCCUGCAGCCCCCCCUACUUGGGAGGCUGAGGCAGGAGAAUCACUUGAACCCGGGAGGCGGAGGUUGCAGUGAGCCAAGAUCACACCACUGCACUCCAGCCUGGUGACAGAGUGAGUUUCUGUCUUAAAAAAAAAAAAAAAAA